AUGUGCCACUAAAUUGCUGAACUUACUGCUAUAGUAGGCCAGGAGAUGUCUGUAUGUCCUCUUCCCGCUGCACACUUUAGGCCUGUAAGCAGUAAGGAAGCGUUGUGUGUUGUGUCAACUCUAUUCCCCUUAUCACCUAAAUAAUUAUGGCCUGGUAGGUAAAACGUACUUGUAGAACUUCAGAACCUCUUCAAAGGCACAUCUUGGUCUGACAGAGGGCUUGGAGGUUAUGUAGCAUCGUGUUAGUGUUUUUGUACUUUAGUUCAUGCAUGCAGUUUGAAAGUUGAUGCAAAUUGAGGUCAUUUAUGUGCUGUGAAGAUUAAAUAUUAAACAUAUAUGUGCGAAAAUCUCAAGUAUGAUAUUAGCACUUUCACCUGAAAAUGUGUACUCCUGGGAACCAACACUUGGAAAUAUCAUCCAUGGGUCAUCACUCAGUGUCAUUCCAAAAUAAAAUCGAAGUAAUAUUAGUUGUUUCACUUUCAAUGUUUUUUCUCAACUCUUGUCGUAUAUGUGCCAUCAGUGGUAUUGGUAAGCAAAUUGCAGUAGCUUUGUAAUAGGGGGGGGGGGGGGGGGUUCAGUUUAUAUCAUAGUAUUGGUACAAAUUAAGACAUUAUGCUCCUAAGGCUUUACAUGCUACACGUUGUAUUACUAUAAAGCAUUACUUGUAUGCUCUGAUGGUGAACUGUUCAAUGCAAUGACUUUUAAUUUGAUUUCACAUUAUGUACGGUCUACAUUUCAAGUUUCCAAGGCCUUAAAAAUGCUAUAGUUCUUACAACACCGCUAGUUUUAACAUCAGGUCAUACAUAGGUGCAAAAGAAUAACCAUGCACCAUUUGUAGUACUCCAUCCAGCAAUUUAGUGUAUAGAUACAUCCAAAUUUGGACAAAUCUACGGCAUCCUUUUUGGGACGGAAGGAGUAUGUUAUUUUUGGCAUUAUCCUCCAGCAACUUGUGCAACUCACUAGUACCCCAGCACUGCAUUAUCCUCCAGCAACUUAUGCAACUCAAGAGUACCCCAGCACCAUCCAGCUAACGCUUGGUGUUUAAAGGCCUAGUUUUUUUUUUUGCUUUAACAUUUGAAUAUAGGAUGAACCUGAUUGGUUUGAAGCAAUUAAAUAUGGCAGUCCUCAACAACAUGUCUUGUUGCUUUAUUACUGUUUCUGGUCCUUGUCUGUAAAUUAUUACUUGCGAUAACACAAGGGUGGUGAGCAACACCCACAGUUUCAUUUGAUGACUAAAAUCUAGGCCUCGUAGAAGGACUGAGCUAGUUAGUCGGGAGCGUUUAACAGUUGCAUCAGGUGUAACGACUUGCCAUACGUUGCUCUUGAAGAACCCAUGUGUGGUGAGCCUGCGGGACUUUUGUCCAUGGUACCAGGUUCGUUUUUUCGAGAGUUGUAGGCUUGUAGCUACUGUAAUUGGGUAGUUUUGUUUUUGUUGCUAUCAGAAGCACGGUAGAUAGUUGAUUUCUAUGGUCACCGGUCGGAUGAUGCAGCUGGAGCUUGCAUGCAAGUCGCAGUUGAGCCAAGCUGACAGUGAUGUCAAGUAAGUGCAUCAUGUCUCAUACGGAACUUGUGACUGUUGCUCAUGCUCUUGUGAGAACUUCUGGUUGUCGCGCCAUGUCUGGAACGUCAACAGCCUAGACAUGAGGUCCUGCCAUGAUGGGCUCAAACAAUCUAGGGGAACUCAAUUUAUGUCCCAAGUAACUCCUAGGGCACAUCUAAUAACUUACUGACACACAUUGCAAGGUAAAAACAUCUUUCUCGUUGGAUUGUGUGGGAUCAAGAUGCCAUGUACUGUGCAUUUCCAUAGAAUUUUAAAACACAUGACUUGUUUCAGUAAGAAAUGCUGGUAUAUUUGAAAGGAAAGAAACCCAUGGAUUAUUAAGGAGACAGAACAGAGAGAUAGAUUCUAAGUGCAUUUGAUUUUUCAAAGAAAAAAUAAAAUAAGGUUUGAGCUUAUGGUAAGAUUCUUAUGGAAUGGAGUUUAUAAAAUUUUGUAUGAAUUGUAAUCCUCUUAAAUUCCUGCGAAAUUCAUUCAAUCUAAAGAGGCCCUUAGUUUCUACCUUACCAUUCUUCUGUUCUGCGUGUAAGAGAAGAGAGGUCCUCUUCUCUUCUGCGUGUAAUUAUCUUACCCAAAAGCUCUUUGGAUGAGUGAGAAAUUGGCGUUCUCAUCACUAUUUGUUCUACUUAAGCCUUCCCUUCCAUAAGGUUCCUCUCUGGCUAUCAUAAGAUGUUGCUUCAUAAUUUUCAUCCACUUGCUGGUAGUAUUCUAUCCGAGGAGUUGAUUCCUUUUACCAACAUAUACCAGCUACGGACUCUUUCAUAAGUUUUCAACUCUUUUACCCCUGGUAUUCAUCAGGGUAUCCUGUGGUUCCAAUACGUCACCUUUUUUCCUAGUUCAUGAUGCUUCCAUGAACCUAUGUCUUGCUAACUUCUUCAACUUCACUGGCACUAACACCUCAUUCGAAUGAACAAGUGAUUUCUCGCACCUUCUCUUCAUACAUAUUCGAUACCACGGUUUCACCAUACCAGCAGUGGUCUGUACUAAUUGAAUUUUCUUCCUCUGGGGUUUGAAUUGCAAGAAAUCCAUUAGCUAAAUUCUUGGA